rnacentral:rRNA from 1 species
UACGUAGGGUGCGAGCGUUGUCCGGAAUUAUUGGGCGUAAAGGGCUCGUAGGCGGUUUGUCGCGUCGGGUGUGAAAACACUGGGCUUAACCGAGUGCUUGCUUUCGAUACGGGCAGACUAGAGGUAUUCAGGGGAGAACGGAAUUCCUGGUGUAGCGGUGAAAUGCGCAGAUAUCAGGAGGAACACCGGUGGCGAAGGCGGUUCUCUGGGAAUAUCCUGACGCUGAGGAGCGAAAGUGUGGGGAGCGAACAGG